rnacentral:rRNA from 1 species
UACGAAGGGGGCUAGCGUUGCUCGGAAUUACUGGGCGUAAAGGGCGCGUAGGCGGCCUGUUAAGUCGAACGUGAAAUCCCCGGGCUCAACCCGGGAACUGCGUCCGAUACUGGCAGGCUUGAAUCCGGGAGAGGGAUGUGGAAUUCCAGGUGUAGCGGUGAAAUGCGUAGAGAUCAGGAGGAACACCCAUGGCGAAGGCAGCUCUCUGGUCGACCUCUGACGCUGAGACGCGAAAGCGUGGGGAGCGAACGGG